AUUCCCAGCAGGAAUAACCUUAAACCUUAAACCUGGAACCUAAACCGGGAACGCCCUAAACCCGAUUAUCUUAAACCGGGAACACCCUAAUCCGCCUUGGUCCUUGAGCAAGGUCACCUACAUUCAAUGUCACUGCAACAUGGGGUACGCUGGCAAGGAAAUUGUCAUACCUACUUGGCUAAUGGCUCCCAGCACCAGGGCUUUGACCUUGCC
rnacentral:lncRNA from 1 species